GACGAACGCUGGCGGCGCGCUUAACACAUGCAAGUCGAACGGAAAGGCCCUGCUUUUGUGGGGUGCUCGAGUGGCGAACGGGUGAGUAACACGUGAGUAACCUGCCCUUGACUUUGGGAUAACUUCAGGAAACUGGGGCUAAUACCGGAUAGGAGCUCCUGCUGCAUGGUGAGGGUUGGAAAGUUUCGGCGGUUGGGGAUGGACUCGCGGCUUAUCAGCUUGUUGGUGGGGUAGUGGCUUACCAAGGCUUUGACGGGUAGCCGGCCUGAGAGGGUGACCGGCCACAUUGGGACUGAGAUACGGCCCAGACUCCUACGGGAGGCAGCAGUGGGGAAUAUUGCACAAUGGGCGGAAGCCUGAUGCAGCAACGCCGCGUGCGGGAUGACGGCCUUCGGGUUGUAAACCGCUUUCGCCUGUGACGAAGCGUGAGUGACGGUAAUGGGUAAAGAAGCACCGGCUAACUACGUG
rnacentral:rRNA from 1 species